rnacentral:tRNA from 1 species
CGGAGAGGGAUUUCUAAAGUACAAGGACUUCCGACUGGUUAAACCGCUUCAAGGUCUUUGGCACCUUGCUACCGGUGUUGAGGGUUCGACUCCCUCCUCUCCGACCA